UACGUAGGGGUCUAGCGUUGUCCGGAAUCAUUGGGCGUAAAGAGCUCGUAGGCGGUUCGGCAAGUCGGAUGUGAAAUCUCCACGCUCAACGUGGAGGGGCCAUUCGAAACUGCCGUGACUCGAGUCCGGUAGGGGAGUGCGGAAUUCCCGGUGUAGCGGUGAAACGCGCAGAUAUCAGGAGGAACACCGGUGGCGAAGGCGGAUCUCUGGGCCAUUACUGACGCUGAGGAGCGAAAGCGUGGGGAGCGAACAGG
rnacentral:rRNA from 1 species